rnacentral:misc_RNA from 1 species
AAACUGCGAUAAGUAGAGUAAAUUGCACUCUAAACUUUGAACGUUAAACUUUCGAACGCACAUUGCGCCAUAGGAGUCCUACCCUAUGGAACAUCUGGCCGAGGGUCGUGAUCGAAAACAGCUGGACAGAUGCUGUAUCUAUACCAAAUGGGUGGAUCAUGACUUCGGCUCGCCUGCCUAGAGUCGAACGUGUUCUGCCAUAAUGAAACAAAGGCGGAAUGACUUGUGCAUCUGCUAGUCGUUGCCGCCUGGCUAACUGGCCGCCAUAGGAGUAAAGGUCCGGUAGGUUGGUUGAUAUUGACAACGGAUUAGGCAAUGAUAGGCUAAAGCUACAGGUGAAUUCCCUAGCUCCACGGAUGGGCUCGACGGCCGAGUAUUUACUCCGGCUCGUAGGGUACCGUACAUACGUGUAAUGCGUAAGUGCCCUAUGGGUGUUUGCGAGUCGGCCGACGUGACCUAUACGUGCCGGGUGUUGUCGAUAUGACGAUCGACUUCCCGACCUCAACUCAGGUGUGAUUACCCGCUGAACUUAAGC